rnacentral:rRNA from 1 species
CUGUUCAACGGCCGCGGUAUUCUGACCGUGCAAAGGUAGCGUAAUCACUUGUCUUUUAAAUUAAGACUUGUAUGAAAGGCACCACGAGGGUUCAACUGUCUCCCCCCUCUAGUCAGUGAAACUGAUCUCCCCGUGCAGAAGCGGGGAUAACCCCACAAGACGAGAAGACCCUAUGGAGCUUAAAACACCGGGCACCUGCCUCCUACUUAAAACCCACAGGUAAAGCCUUCAACCGGGCAGAGAUGACCCUACGUUUUUGGUUGGGGCGACCACGGAGAACAAACUACCCUCCGAGAAGAAAAGGACCUACACCUUUAACCGAGGGCGACAGCCCUAAGUACCAGAACUUCUGACUACCAUUGACCCAGUCUAACUGAUCAACGAACCAAGUUACCCUAGGGAUAACAGCGCAAUCCACUUAGAAAGUUCAUAUCGACAAGUGGGUUUACGACCUCGAUGUUGGAUCAGGGCGCCCAAGUGGUGCAGCCGCUACUAAUGGUUCGUUUGUUCAACGAUUAAAGCCCUACGUGAUCUGA